UACAGAGGGUGCGAGCGUUAAUCGGAAUUACUGGGCGUAAAGCGCGCGUAGGCGGCUUUGCAAGUCGGGUGUGAAAUCCCCAGGCUCAACCGUGGAACUGCAUUCGAGACUGCAUUGCUAGAGUAUGGGAGAGGGAAGUGGAAUUUCCGGUGUAGCGGUGAAAUGCGUAGAUAUCGGAAGGAACAUCAGUGGCGAAAGCGACUUCCUGGACCAAUACUGACGCUCAUGUGCGAAAGCGUGGGGAGCAAACAGG
rnacentral:rRNA from 1 species